CCCCCAAUCAUUCAUUCAUUUAAUCAGAGAUUGGAGAACUCUGAAGCGAAGGAACCCUAGCCCUCCAUCGUCGCCGCCGUUCCCAGGUCGUCACCGCCGUUCCCAGGUCGUCGAACCCUAACCCAGUAACUCGGCAGGUACUCUUCAUCUUCGCUGGCUUCUCGGCACGGAACCCAGGCUAACGUUCCUUGGGGCAUGGAGGGGCAACACAACAAGACGGUGAGAAUAUUUGUCGGUGGAUUGGGGGAAUCAGUAACUAAACAAGACCUCCACAGUUUGUUCAGCUCUUUUGGCAAUGUCGAAGCAGUCGAAACAAUCCGAACCAAAGGUCGCAGUUUCGCCUAUCUUGACUUCCUUCCUUCUCCCACCGAUGACAAAUCUCUUGCCAGGCUUUUUAGCAAGUAUAAUGGUUGUGUUUGGAAGGGUGGGAAGUUGAAGCUCGAGAAGGCUAAAGAACAUUAUCUAGUGCGGUUGAAACGAGAAUGGGAUGAAGAUGCUAUGUCUAAGAUUGAACAUGUUAGUGACAAACCAGUCACUACUGAUAAGUUAGAGGAAAAGCCCACAAAGGAGAGUUUAAAGACAAAGCAGCUCCACAUUUACUUCCCGAGGUUAAGAAAGGUAAAACCUAUACCAUUCACUGGAACUGGAAAGCACAAAUACAGUUUCCAGAAUAUUAAAGUUCCUCUUCUCCCUGUGCAUUUCUGUGAUUGCAAGGAACAUUGUAGUCCUUCUGGCACAGAAAGGGGAAAACUACAUAUUGAAAGGGCAACAGAAAUUGGAGGAAUGAAUGAUGAAGAAAUUAACAUAAUGAAUGUCGUGAUGAACAAACUACUUGGAAAAGAAAAUGUUUCCGAAAAGAAGAAUCUUGAAACAGAGGAUUCCUUUGAAUCACCUGCACAUCCUGAUGACUCUCAAGUAGGUAGUUCAACAGAUGAAGAUGAUAUCAUUAUUAACGUGAACACAAAGAGAAAUAAAUCGUCCAUAAUAGGGAGUGAGGAACUUCAAAUGAUCUUGGAAAAUCAGGUUAAUUUUCAUUGCUGUCAUUAUUAUUAUUAUUAUUAUUAUUAUUAUUAUUAUUUGGCAAACAGUCUAAAGUUUCAUGGUCUCAGAAAUCUUCAUGGAAAGAACUACUUGGUAAUGGAGGUAAUACUGCUUUCAAUGCCACACUCAUAUUUCCUGCAGAGCAAGAAAGACCUGAUAGUCCAUCCCAAUCCAUAUCUUUAAACGACAAAACUGAAAACAUGGAAGGGCAUGAACACCUAGGGAGUGAACCCACCGAUACAGAAUCGACAAAGGAGCUCACUGAAGAUAAUCAUACCAACACAUCAGCAUUAAGAAAGCAUGCUGAAGCUCAGCCUGCUGACAACAAUGUGGAGUUGAAGAAGACCGGUCGAGGUGCAUCAUGGCGACGGAGGCAAUCAUGGACACAACUGGUUGCUGGAGACAACAGUUCAUUUAGCAUUUCACAGAUUUUGGCAGGCAUUACAUUCUCAGAGCCAAUGGCCAAGGGGUCUACCAUGGACCCUGCAAAUUCCAACAAUCCCAAGCAUAAUAAUGUAGGUAAGGAUGCUAUUAAUGAAGUUGUUACUAGUGAUGGGUGUAUACCGGAAAAGAGUCAACAUGAUGGUGGUGGUGCCAAUGAUACUGCAUAUGAGGAAAAGAGUGAGACAAGAGAAAAGGAAGGAUCGUCUGAAGAAACAGUACAAAAAGAGAGAUCCACUGCGAGGGUUGAAGUAGGCGAAACUUGCACAUUCAUGAGAAGUUGUUCUUCUUUGAAAGAGUGGGCGAAGGCUAAGGCUGCUUUAAGUGGAUCACUCAAAAGGAAACGUCCCAACUCCUGAGAACCAGUAAAGAAGCAUGAAUAACACUGUAGUGUAUUUUUAAUUUGUUGUUUUUCUUGGCUUAUGCAUAGCAAAAUGAGGGAAAUUAAUUUUCAGAUACUGCGAAAUGAUUGAUUUCUGUUUGAUUGGACAAUGCUGUAGGGACUGCUUAACAAUAGAGAGUGUGACAAUAGUCAAUAGCCAUGUUGAGCUUGGGAAUAGUCUUUCCCCCA